rnacentral:snRNA from 1 species
UUGGCGGGAUCCCUCGCG